UGCCUUGGAGCUCCGUUGGUAGAGCGUUCGACUGUUAUUGCGGUAACGUAGUGCAUCGAAAGGUCUGCGGUUCGAUCCCGCACGGGGCAG
rnacentral:tRNA from 1 species